rnacentral:piRNA from 1 species
UGGGCUAAUUUUAUCUCAACA